GCUGGGCGCAGUGGCGUGUGCCUGUAACUGUAGCUACCUGCAGGGCUGAGGUCUGUAGAUGGUUUCAGGUCGGGACUCCUGGGGGGGUGCUGCUCUAUGUUGAGCGGACGCCCGCACUGGGUUUGGCAUCAAUAUGGGUAUUGCGGAGGAGUCCAGUGAUGUCCAGGUUGUAUAAUGAGAACCGUAUCGGCCCAGGCCCUAGCGGGAGCAGGCAAAAGGCUCCGUACUGAGUGGUAGUGGGAUAACGUCUGUGAAUUCAUUCACCAGCCUGGCCAAUAAUUAAUCAGACCAAACUUUUU
rnacentral:SRP_RNA from 1 species